rnacentral:lncRNA from 1 species
CACCUACUCCCAUCUCCAAAAUUAGAAAGCAAUAUUGGGAUUAACCCACCAAUACAACCCAAUACUUAACAGAACUGGCAUAAUUUCCACCGAUGCAAAGGUAAACACAAUUGAAGGGGGAUCUGUGCUGGGUUAGAUGGUUUACCGUAACCGGAAGAGGCUGACAAGGGUGACAAUGCAAGGUAGAAAGAAGCAGCGGAAAGAGUAAGAAUGAUCAUAAGGAGGUAACACAACAUCUUUG